CCUACGGGUGGCAGCAGUGGGGAAUAUUGGACAAUGGGGGAAACCCUUAUCCAGCGACGCCGCGUGAGGGAAGAAGGUUUUCGGAUUGUAAACCUCUGUCAGUCGGGACGAUAAUGACGGUACCCACGGAGGAAGCCACGGCUAACUACGUGCCAGCAGCCGCGGUAAUACGUAGGUGGCAAGCGUUGGCCGGAAGUACUGGGUGUAAAGGGAGCGUAGGCGGGAUCUCAAGUCAGAAGUGAAAAUUAUGGGCUCAACUCAUAACGUGCUUUGGAAACUGAUAUUCUUGAGUGAAGUAGAGGCAAGCGGAAUUCCUAGUGUAGCGGUGAAAUGCGUAGAUAUCACGAAGAACCCCGAUUGCGAAGGCAGCUUACUAAACUGUGACUGACAUUGAUGCUCGAAAGUGUGGGUAGCAAACAGGAUUAGAUACCCGUGUAGUC
rnacentral:rRNA from 1 species